UAACGCGAAGAACCUUACCAGGACUUGACAUGCCACUUUUUCCCUGAAAGGGGAAGUUCCCGAGUGGACACAGGUGGUGCAUGGCUGUCGUCAGCUCGUGUCUUGAGAUGUUGGGUUAAGUCCCGCAACGAGCGCAACCCUUGUUUUGAGUUGCUAUUUUUAGGAAACUCAAAAGACUGCCGGUGAGAAGCCGGAGGAAGGUGAGGAUGACGUCAAGUCAGCAUGCCCCUUACGUCCUGGGCGACACACGUGCUACAAUGGCCGGGACAAAGAGAUGCAAUCCCGCGAGGGGGAGCCAACCUCAAAAACCCGGUCUCAGUUCGGAUUGUAGGCUGCAACUCGCCUACAUGAAGUCGGAAUCGCUAGUAAUCGCAGGUCAGACAUACUGCGGUGAAUACGUUCCCGGGUCUUGACACACCGA
rnacentral:rRNA from 1 species